UAGUAGUCAUCCGCUGGUCUCAAAGAUUAAGCCACCCAGGAGUAAGAGUUAAUAUCAAAGUUUGGAGCUGCGAAGGGCUCAUCAUAUCAGCUAUAGUAUAUUAGGUGAAGGGUAAUACUAGGAUAACCGUAGUAAUUAUUGGGCUAAUACAAGAGAAAGUCCUUUGGGGAGGUGUCUUUAUUAGAAUGAAAACCAUAUGCUUCGGCAUGAUAGUGAGUAAUAGUAACCUAUCGUAUCGCAUGCUUAAGUAGCGAUGAGUCUUUCAAGUUCUG
rnacentral:rRNA from 1 species